CUACGGGGGGCUGCAGUGAGGAAUAUUGCACAAUGGGGGAAACCCUGAUGCAGCAACGCCGCGUGGAGGAUGACGCAUUUCGGUGUGUAAACUCCUUUUAUCAGAGAAGAAAAUGACGGUAUCUGAUGAAUAAGCUCCGGCUAACUCCGUGCCAGCAGCCGCGGUAAUACGGAGGGAGCAAGCGUUAUUCGGAAUCACUGGGCGUAAAGGACGCGUAGGCGGGUUAUUAAGUCAGGUGUGAAAUCCAAUGGCUCAACCAUUGAACUGCACUUGAAACUGGUAACCUAGAGUAUGGAAGGGGCAGAUGGAAUUAGUGGUGUAGGGGUAAAAUCCGUAGAUAUCACUAGGAAUACCGAAAGCGAAGGCGAUCUGCUGGGACAUUACUGACGCUGAGGCGUGAAAGCGUGGGGAGCAAACAGGAUUAGAUACCCGGGUAGUC
rnacentral:rRNA from 1 species